GUGAGUGUGUGGCUAUGUUUUGUGCUCUGAAAAGGCUUCUGAGAUUGCUUUUAGGAUGGCUGCUUUAAGGGGAGAUUUUGAGGGGUCAGAGGUACCUCCACUGCAUAGAGGACCUGAGAUUUGAGUUGCCUCCCCACCAGGCAGGGCCAGGAUGGGUUGGGGAAAAGAAAGAGGUGAGGGACUCCUGACCCCACCAGCACCCAUGGACAGACAGGAGCUCAGGGGACUCAGUGUGUGGUUUCAGCUCCUCUCCACUCUGCAUGGGGAGGGAGGCCAGCAAGGAUCAUUUCCUCCACUUCACAGCUGCAGGAACCAAGGCUAUGAGAAUGGACUGAGGGGUGACUUGAAGGCAGAGCCUGUGACUUGCCUAUCUCUGGAUCUCCAGGGCCUGGACCAGGCAGAGAGAGAAGAAAUUCAGUGGCUUCCCUGUGGCCUGGAGGAUGUCUGUCCCACUGAAAGAGGACUGCAACACAGAACUCAAACCAAGUGACAGCAAAAGCCUGGGCACAACUCACCCUUCUUCAUGGUCCAGCUUUCACAUCCGUACAUGAUUACUGGAAAAACCAUAGCUUUGACUAUACAGACCUUUGUCAGCAAAGUGAUGUCUCUGCUUUUUAAUAUGCUGUCUAAUUUUGUCAUAGCUUUCUUCCAAGAAGCAAGCG
ensembl:lncRNA